GGAAUUCUGAGGGAGGCCAAAAGCGUUUCAGUGAGACUUGGGAUGCAUUUCUUGGGAGUCCUGCGCAGUAUUCUUUCCCCCUUGGAAAUGGCAUCAUACCCUGUGCAGGCAACAAUGACGCAUGAGUAAGUCGUGAUUGGUUUCCUCCCUCCUCUGAAGUGGGGCCUGUGGAUCUUGAAUCAUACUUUCAAAACUCAGGACUGAAAUCUACAGUUGUAACAGAACAAGGUAUUGCAUUUCUCAAAAGUGUGUGACCCUGAUUCCUUGGUAAAUUUGAGUAUGAGAGAUCCUCACAACUAUAUCCUAAACAUACUGCACAGAGAGCAACUAUUCUACUCUCAAAGCAUAACUGAUUACAACUUGGCAGAAUGACGCUGUUUGGCCUGUAUGAAGACUUCACAGAUGGUUUAAGGAAGCUAUGCUUCUCUCAAGCUUCUACAAGAAAAUUCCCGAAGGUCAAAUUACUUUCUUUUCCUGCUAAGAGAUUAGAGAGUGCCAGGAAAACAGCUUUGAUGCUCAGGAUCUGGAUGAAGUCUAUAUGAGAACAGAGCAGAUGAGCUCAGAGAGGAAAAGUCUAUCACAGCAAAUGGUAGUGUGCCUGUCUCUGCUACACCAUCAACAAACACCAUUGGUUCAACCUUGAUGCAUGCUGCCUUUCUGCGCCACUGAGAAGAACACGGAAUGGCCUACCUAGGAGCAUGUAAUGGUUCAAUUGUUAACAAACCAGAAAUGAACCUGCUCCUCAUCCCAUGACUGCUAACUUUAUUCAAGAGCCUUUGGAGAGGAACUUUGUCUAAAGUUUUUUGGAAGUUCAAGUAUACUGUGACAACCAGAUCACCUUUAUCCACAUGCCUAUUGACAUUCUCAAAGAAUUCCAAAAGAUAAAAUGGCAAGUCAAGAAAGAAAGAAAGAAAGAAAGAAAGAAAGAAAGAAAGAAAGAAAGAAAGAAAGAAAGAAAGAGCAAGCAAGCAAGCAAGCAAGCAAGCCCUACAAAGAUAGAUAUAAACUACCUCCCUCCUGGUCUUCAUAUUUAAAAUAUAAUAUUUAUCUCAGUACCAUGAGAAAGAAAUGGAAGGAAUGGAAAUGGAAUGUUUUAAAAACCCCUUCUUUUUAAAAUAUAUAAUCUUCAAAAUCCAUAUAAUGCAUUAAAAUUAGACCAAAUUGCCAAAACAUUCCUCUACUUUUCAUUUCAUUGGAAAAAUAUUUGUUCAAACUAUGCUAGGGAAAACAUAUCCAUAACCCACAACUGUUUAUCAGGAGUAUACGUGUUCUUCCAAUGUUGUAUCACAAUCCUUUUGGCAAUUCCCCAUACUCGAAGAAUUCAUUGUUCUUGAUAUAUAGAUAACUUCCAUACUUUGGGGAGCCCAGUCUCACCAAAGCAGGUGAGACUAAAGUUAAAGUUACCGGCUAAAGUUACCCUCCCCUAAGCCCAGGUUAGUGGAGCGAGCGCUCUGCUAACCUGAGCUUUCAGAUUGUGUGUUGCCGUGGUGCAGCUCCGCAGUGUGGCAACUCAUGAGUAGAACCCUGACCAGGAGGCUAAAAUGCAGCCUCCCAGCUUGGGGGUCUCUCCAGCAUGCCCUGAGCACAUGUGCAGGGCAUGCUGGAACUUUCGGGGGCCGAGUGGCCCCCAAUCCCUGCAGCCUCCGCUGGCUCUGUGAAAGAGUCGGCAGUCGUGUGGGGAGCCAAUCUGGCCGCCCAGGGCUCUGCAGGCGCUCGUCUGCAGGGAGAGCGGGCUAAGCCAGCUCUCCCUGCUUAACCCCAUCUGGUAGUUCCCACUGAUAGUGGGAACCGGGUCCAUAUGUAUGAGUGUUCCAUCCUCUAAAUUGCAUCACCAGCAUUUUGGAUUUUAAGAAUUUUCUAAACAUUUUCCUAAACAUUCUUUGUGGUGUCCAAUAUAAAACAGGAGCUUCUGCUUUAUUAACCUCAUUCUGAGGUAUAAAGAAGCAUAUCUUACUCCUUUUUAGGGUGACUUGCCAUUAAUUUAAAAGAAUAGGACACUCGAGCUCCCUAUUCCAGAGUUCUCAUAUGUAAUUAAUAUGAAUCUUAUCUCUCUCUCUAAAUUUUUGAUAAAGAAAAAUUACUGGUUUAGGUUCUCUCAUCAAUCUAUAUACCCUCUUAAAACAGGAAACAGGUAUAAACAUUGGAAGACCUCUUAAAAUAUAUAUGAGCCUAGGCAAUACAUUUUUUAAACAUUUGUCUUACCCCAUAUACUUAGAGAAAUCUUAGACCACAUAUCCAAAUCAUUUUUUGCUGCAACUGUACAACUAACUGUACUCAGCAUUAUACCUCUUGGGAAUUUCUUCUGACAAUGCCCCUUCAGAACUGGGAACCAAAUUUUCUCCACAAAUUCUGAGCUGGUGUUAAAUUUGCCAGCAACUGACUUAGAGUACUGGGACUGGAAAUAGGAAAAAAACCACCAGAGAGAGAAUGCAAUUACUCCUCACUCAAAACCCUGCUGUUGGCCAUGUGUGAAUGUCAUGUCCUCUCACAGAUGUUUCUAAACCACAGCCUCUCUCUUUCCUUACACAAAUCAACAGGGGAUUUCUGGGGUGGCUUCAUUAAUUGUAGAAGCUGGGUGUUUAACAUGAAUUCUGAGUGAGUGAAUUUCAGUGCACCAGAAGUAAAAGCUGGAAGUAGAGAAAUGGAUUAGCAAAAACAAGACCGGGCAACAAACAUUUUAAAGUAUCCUAUGUGUUCAAUGGGUUAUAUCCUGGCAAGAAUGGUUUAUAGAAGGAAACUACUCAUUUAUUUUUUUUCUAAAAGCCAAAGCUAUUUGCUAUGGUGGAAGAGAUCAAGUUAACGCUUAUAUGCAUUUCAAGUCUUACCUUUAAAAAUGUAUCCAAAGAUCCAUUUUCCAUGUAUUCGGUCACAAUCAUGACUGGUUUACCUGGAUAAAGAAUAUCAUAAGCCUAUCAACUGCAACUCCUGGAAUAGUAAAUAGCCUAUUAUUUUUGCAUAAAAUACCAGUGACUCACAAGUCUUGGGGUGAUUUCAUGUAUUACUUUGUUUAGGUGUACACCUAGGAUGGUUUGAGUGUGCAUUUAAAAACAAUGUGUAAAUGUAACAAAUACAUGUUUGUGAGCUCAUAAAUCAUACAUGUACAUUGAA